rnacentral:rRNA from 1 species
AACGAACGCUGGCGGCAGGCUUAACACAUGCAAGUCGAACGCCCCGCAAGGGGAGUGGCAGACGGGUGAGUAACGCGUGGGAACAUACCCUUUUCUACGGAAUAGCUCUGGGAAACUGGAAUUAAUACCGUAUACGCCCUACGGGGGAAAGAUUUAUCGCCAUUGGAUGGGCCCGCGUCGGAUUAGCUAGUUGGUGAGGUAACGGCUCACCAAGGCGACGAUCCGUAGCUGGUCUGAGAGGAUGAUCAGCCACACUGGGACUGAGACACGGCCCAGACUCCUACGGGAGGCAGCAGUGGGGAAUAUUGGACAAUGGGCGCAAGCCUGAUCCAGCCAUGCCGCGUGAGUGAAGAAGGUCUUCGGAUUGUAAAGCUCUUUUGGCGGGGACGAUAAUGACGGUACCCGCAGAAUAAGCCCCGGCUAACUUCGUGCCAGCAGCCGCAGUAAAAC